rnacentral:rRNA from 1 species
GACGAACGCUGGCGGCGCGCUUAACACAUGCAAGUCGAGCGAAGCGGCGGACGGGUGAGUAACACGUGAGUAACCUGCCUUUGACAUUGGGAUAGCCUCGGGAAACUGGGAUUAAUACCAAAUGGUCAACGAUGGACUCGCGGCUGAGUAGCUAGUUGGUGAGGUAACGGCCCACCAAGGCGACGAUCCGUAGCCGGCCUGAGAGGGGGACCGGACACAUUGGAACUGAGACACGUUGCAAACUCUACGGGGGGCAGCAGGGGCGAAUAUUGCACAAUGGGGGAGACCGUGAUGCAGCGACGCCGCGUGGGCGAAGAAGGCCUUCGGGUAGUAAAGCUCUUUUAUGAGAGAAGCGGUACCUCAAGAAAAAGCCCCGGCUAACUACGUGCCAGCAGCCGCGGUAAUUC